rnacentral:tRNA from 1 species
CACUUGGUGGCUGAAGUUUAAGCAUAGGUCUUUUAAACCUAUAAUAGUAUUUUAUACUCCAAGUGA